rnacentral:lncRNA from 1 species
CUCCUAUUUAAUUUAGGAAUAAUUGUUUAUAUACGUACCCCACAAAACUUCUGAAGUAUUUUGUAUACUCCUAACUUUUUUUUUUCUUUCAAAUAUAUUCAUCGUAUAUUUUUUUAUUAUUCAAAAUAAAUUUCGCUGUUAGUACCCAUUAAGUCAUCAAAAAUCGGUGAUGGUAGAAGGAUAUAUUUGAAAAAGCAAAAAGUUAAAAUACUUCGUUUGCUCCUAACUUUAAGAGCAAAUAAGAAAAUUGGUGAUAAUAGAUCAAUGAGUAUAUUUGAAAGGACAAAAUAGUAACUUCAUAGAGAUAACGGCUGUCCCAAUAGUUCACUAAGAAAGAUAAUUAAGAAAGUCGAAAAUCAUUCAGGACUAUAUAAGCAAUUGCCUUUUUAAUUUAAGUCCCUAAAAUAGCUUUGUAGUUUCUCCAAUCCAAUGGGUUUUGUUCUUUAAAAAAAAAAAAAAAAAAAAAAAAAAA